GCGCCGGGGUAGGGCGUGGCGUCCGGGCUCUGCGGCUUGGCGGGGUCCGGGUUGGUGCCGUCCGGAGUGGCGCCGCCGUCCGGCUCGGUGCCCGGGGUGCC
rnacentral:tRNA from 1 species